rnacentral:rRNA from 1 species
AUGGCAGCCGCAGCAGCGGGUGAGAACAGCAGGUUAACUCGGGUGAGAAAGAAGGGGGAUGGCAAGUUCGCCGCAGUUAUGAAGCACCCGGUGACAAAGACAUUGUUGUGGCUGGGGACGUACCAGUCCCCUGAGAUCGCCGCGUGCGCCUACGACCUCGCGGCUAGGGAGAUGAAGGGCACAAAGGCAAAGCUCAACUUCCCCUACCCUCCGCUGGCCAAACUGGUAAUGGAGGUGAUUGCUGCAACGAGGCACCGUAGCCGCAGUCACGACGCACACGCACCACUCUUUAAGGUUGUUACAUUGCCACCGGACCCCACAGCACCGCCUCCACUGCCGCCCAAACUGGUAGUUUACUUUUCCUUCCCCUUUGAAGCGCCCGCUGGAGACACCCCACCGGUGCCUCAAUUCUAUCUCUUAUUCUCCCGUAUCUCUCUGUAA